AUACGGAGGAUGCAAGCGUUAUCCGGAUUUAUUGGGUUUAAAGGGUGCGUAGGCGGUUUGCUAAGCGGGAGGUGAAAUGCCGGCGCUCAACGUCGGAAGUGCCUCCCGAACUGGUGGACUGGAAUGACUCUGCCGUGGGAGGAAUGUGUAGUGUAGCGGUGAAAUGCUUAGAGAUUACACAGAACACCGAUUGCGAAGGCAUCUCACGAAGGGUUGAUUGACGCUGAGGCACGAAAGCGUGGGGAUCAAACAGGAUUAGAUACCCUGGUAGUCCACGCAGUAAACGAUGAUGGCUAACCGCUGGGCUUGUCAGUUCAGUGGCCAAGCGAAAGCGAUAAGCCAUCCACCUGGGGAGUACGACCGCAAGGUUGAAACUCAAAGGAAUUGACGGGG
rnacentral:rRNA from 1 species